rnacentral:rRNA from 1 species
AGGAAAGCAGGGGAUCGCAAGACCUUGCGCUCUUGGAGCGGCCGAUGUCUGAUUAGCUAGUUGGUGAGGUAAAGGCUUACCAAGGCGACGAUCAGUAGCUGGUCUGAGAGGACGACCAGCCACACUGGGACUGAGACACGGCCCAGACUCCUACGGGAGGCAGCAGUGGGGAAUUUUGGACAAUGGGGGAAACCCUGAUCCAGCCAUGCCGCGUGAGUGAAGAAGGCCUUCGGGUUGUAAAGCUCUUUCAGCCGGAACGAAACGGUCACGGCUAAUACCUGUGACCACUGACGGUACCGGAAGAAGAAGCACCGGCUAACUACGUGCCAGCAGCCGCGGUAAUACGUAGGGUGCAAGCGUUAAUCGGAAUUACUGGGCGUAAAGCGUGCGCAGGCGGUUUUGUAAGUCAGAUGUGAAUCCCCGGGCUUAACCUGGGAACUGCGUUUGAAACUACAAGGCU